GGGGCGUUGGCGCAGUUGGGAGCGCGCUUGAAUGGCAUUCAAGAGGCCGUGGGUUCAAGUCCCAUACGCUCCA
rnacentral:tRNA from 2 species